AAGAAAAGGAUAUGAGUAUUUAUGAGAAACAAAAUCUGGGAUUAGAAGAAAUGUAGGAAAAGAAAAGGGUGUGAAAUUUUGGGGUUGGAGUUGAUGAUGGUGGUGAUUGGUGUUAGAAUUUUACCCGCAUUCCUUCUUCUAACAAAAAUAUCUUCGAAAAAAAAAAUAGAGAGAGGAAAAGUAGCUCUCAAAAUUGAAAAUUCUAACGGAAAUGUUAAUUUUGGGCUUAAAU
rnacentral:lncRNA from 1 species